AGUCAAGUAAUUAAGUGCAUGUGGUGGAUGCCUUGGCAGUCAGAGGCGAUGAAAGACGUGAUAGCCUGCGAAAAGCUCCGGGGAGGCGGCAAAUAUCCUGUGAUCCGGAGAUGUCUGAAUGGGGAAA
rnacentral:rRNA from 1 species